rnacentral:piRNA from 1 species
UGCACAGGGGCCAUCUGACUCAC